CCCGAGAUAUAUUCAGUUUGCCACCAGAGCUCGUCUGGAGCACAACUCGUUUCGGAAAAAUAAAAAUGUGAAAAAAACACAAAAUUCAUAGUAAAGCGACGGAAUUUAUUGGUUAACUUUCCGAGUUAUUACAUCCAAACAAACACGUACAGAUAAUGCAGUUUAAUCGAAUAAGGACAUAACACUGGAUACAUACAAGAAAUCAGUGCAGUUGCUACACAAGAUACACUGGAUACUCAUCCCAUCCCAAAUUUAGUUGGUCUGGCUAAAAUGCAAACUAAUCAAGAUCGUUCCGCCUACACUUGGUUAAUUAACAGUCUGAACAACCUAUGAUAGGUUUGUUCAACUGUCACACUCAAUAGCAAUGAAUCGGAAUGCUUCCACAGAUAAAAUGUUUUUCAAUUCGAUGGUACCAGUCCCGUUGGACGAGAGGAUUGCAUCGUUUUGGAUACAAAUGUUCUCUUGCAAACUAAUCUAAUGCCUGUUCUUCGUACACUAUGUUAUUGAAAUAUCUGCAAUCAAAUGAAAUCAUUGUUAACAGUCUGAACACCCUACCAAAGAUAAAACGAUGGUACCAGUCCCGUUGGACGAGAGGAUUGCAUCGCUUUGGAUACAAAUGUUCUCUUGCAAACUAAUCUAAUGCCUGUUCUUCGUACACUAUGUUAUUGAAAUAUCUGCAAUCAAAUCAAAUCAUUGUUAACAGUCUGAACACCCUACCAAAGAUAAAACGAUGGUACCAGUCCCGUUUGACGAGAGGAUUUCUUCGUUUUGCUUACAACUGUUGCUAACAUAUUGCCUGCCUUACCCUCAUCCUCAUACGCUAAUGAAUUGCCUCGCCUCUCUAGGAUUAGUUGGAUUGGCCCAAAUGCAAACUAAUGAAAAGAUCGUUCCGCAUAUUCAAGGUUAAUUGAUAGCUUUUCAUGUGAACUAUAAUCAAUUGCAUUAAUCAAACGGCUUGUCUGAAUAAACGUUGUUCGUCGAUCGUAAA